AGCCUCACCCAAAAACCACAUCCCUCCUCUAAAGAAGCCCCAGUGGACAUAGCUCAUCACCAUGGACUGGACCUGGAGGAUCCUCCUCUUGGUGGCAGCAGCUACAGGUGCCCACUCCCAGGUGCAGCUGGUGCAGUCUGGGGCGGAGGUGAAGAAGCCUGGGGCCUCCGUGAAGGUCUCCUGCAAGGCUUCUGGAUACACCUUCACCAGCUAUGGUAUGCAGUGGGUGCGACAGGCCCCUGAACAAGGGCUCGAGUGGAUGGGAUGGAUCAACACCAACACUGGUGGCACAAGCUACGCACAGAAGUUCCAGGGCAGAGUCACCAUGACCAGGGACGCAUCCACGAGCACAGCCUACAUGGAGCUGAGCAGCCUGAGACCUGAGGACACGGCCGUGUAUUACUGUGCGAGAGACACAGUGUGAAAACCACAUCCUGAGAGUGUCAGAAACCCCAGGGAGGGGGCAGCUGUGCUGAGCUGAGGAGACGACAAGGGUUACCAGGUUUAAGGCUGUUUACAAACAGGGUUAUAUAUUUGAGAGAAAAUCACGUGGAAACAAGUGCACACUCUCAUUUUGAGAGAAAUAUUCCAUCCAAGAGUCCUCAUAUAAACCAGAUUCAGAGUGGGAAAGGCCACACUCAGUACAGUUGAUGCAGACAU